AUUAUAUUAGUAUAAUUAAAGUACAUUUAACUUCCAAUUAAAAAGUUUCAUUAAAUAUAA
rnacentral:tRNA from 1 species